rnacentral:rRNA from 1 species
AAAGGAAUAGACGGGGACCCGCACAAGCGGUGGAGCAUGUUGUUUAAUUCGAAGCAACGCGAAGAACCUUACCUACACUUGACAUGCCUCUUGGGUCUUUCAGAGAUGAUUGACUUCGGUUCGGCCGGGGAGUGCACAGGUGCUGCAUGGCUGUCGUCAGCUCGUGUCGUGAGAUGUUGGGUUAAGUCCCGCAACGAGCGCAACCCUUAUCGUAUGUUGCCAGCAUUUAGUUGGGCACUCAUGCGAGACUGCCGGUGACAAGCCGGAGGAAGGCGGGGACGACGUCAAGUCAUCAUGGCCCUUACGUGUAGGGCUACAAACGUGCUACAAUGGCGGUGACAAUGGGUCAAUCCCAAAAAGCCGUCUCAGUUCAGAUUGUUCUCUGCAACUCGAGAACAUGAAGUUGGAAUCGCUAGUAAUCGUGAAUCAGCAUGUCACGGUGAAUACGUUCCCGGGUCUUGUACACACCGCCCGU